rfam:Aurantimonas manganoxydans SI85-9A1 scf_1099451004081 genomic scaffold, whole genome shotgun sequence.
GGGCGCGUAGCUCAGCGGGAGAGCACCUCGUUCACACCGAGGGGGUCACAGGUUCAAUCCCUGUCGCGCCCA